CUAAGUUUGAUGGCGACCGGCGCACGGGUGAGUAACACGUAUCCAACCUGCCGAUGACUCGGGGAUAGCCUUUCGAAAGAAAGAUUAAUACCCGAUGGCAUAGUUCUUCCGCAUGGUAGAACUAUUAAAGAAUUUCGGUCAUCGAUGGGGAUGCGUUCCAUUAGCUUGUUGGCGGGGUAACGGCCCACCGGGGCGACGAUCAGUAGGGGUUCUGAGAGGAAGGUCCCCCACAUUGGAACUGAGACACGGUCCAAACUCCUACGGGAGGCAGCAG
rnacentral:rRNA from 1 species